GUUAGUAGAGGGCUUACAAAAAGAUCUAGGUGGAUGUUGGGGUCUUGGACAGCAAAUCUUUCUGCCUGGGACUCAAAGUUCUUGCACUAACAGAUUGAUUAGGUCCAAGAAUCAGGAGCGCCAUGACCAGAAAGCGGCAACAAAAACUUUCACAGUUUCCUGAUGUAUUUUCCAAAGUACUCUCAGCAGAAUUGGAAUUGAGGGGGAAGGUAUGAGGCAACCUCUAUAACCAUCCCACCUCCAGCACUUCCAUUGCCAUUACAAUGGGAUACAACUGAUAUGAGAUGCAUAUUUUCUUGAAUAUUUUCCUGAGUGGAGAACCAAUCCAUCUCUGGAAACUCAAUUUUUUAUUAACUACUAGAACUAGCCAAUGUAGUUUUUACUUCAGAUCCUUCACUGAUGACCUGCUGAACCAGUAGAUCACCAGGUUAAUUAACCAGAUGCACUGCUGCUAGGAAAGCAGAUUCCACUCCAUCCAUGUAAUCAGACUGUAUGUCUCCCUACGUGAAGCAUCUGAGCUAGUGCGACUCUUGUAAUACUCUUUUGGUGGAAACGGGUGCUGGCCAUGGCAUCCAGAAAUGCCCACAAAGCUAAUGUGGUUACCUGUAGGUCCAGCCUGUGUGUGCUCUUCUGAGCUUCUGUCCUAGACUAGUUCUCAUGGCCAUCCUUUCACCCAGUUUAGUAGGCUUGUAUCUGAAGUGGUGACCAGCUGAUCUGGAAAAGUCAGGUUCACAUCUGUGAAUCUGUGCAAGUCUACUGACCAGUUCAGGGACAGAAGAAUGUUCCUCAACAGAGAAACCUGGAGAUGAAAGCAGGAUGUGAUCGGAAAGAAUGCAAUAUUUGGAUUUGCUUGGGAUAACAGCAGCCUUGCUGGAUCAGGCCCAUGGCCUAUCUAGUCCAGCAUCCUGUUUCCUACAAUGGCCCACCAGAUGCUUCUGAGAAGCCCACAGGCAAGUGGUGAGGACAUCCCCUCUCUCUGAUUUGAGGGGCCCAUGGUAACUAUCCUUCAGGACACCCCAUGGUUUCUUAAAGGCAACCUGCACAGGAUCCAUCGGGGAAGACUUCGGGGACAAGUCCGGCUUCGACUGGCAAUAGUUGGGUAACGCUGAUGUCAAUGAUAGCGGAGACUGGGGUCAGAGGGCACAGUGCUUGUUCAUACAAGGCAGCCUUUAAAUGCAAUCCCCUGCUCUUUCUAGUUGAGAGAAAGACAAAUUUUGCAGGUGUGUACAAUAUGGUCUUCCCCAAGGCAAAGCAGACAGAGUUCUUGUUUGUCGGAGGAAGGAAGAUUCCUAUGGUACGACAAACAGCACCUAAAAGUUUUUUUAGCGUUCAUUAGAGCAAAAAACAAGCAAACCAAUCCAAUUUGUGAGGCAAAGAGUAACAACCUAAGAACCAAUAGGCCAAACUGUAAAAACCUUUUCUCUCAGGAACCAAGAAUGACCAAGGAGCAAUCCCAAAGGAAGCACAUGCAAUGGUGGUCAAGAAGAAACUGAGCAAGAAAGUGCUCUGCUGCUGAAGAUACCAAGCACGCUUGGUGCGGAAGGGAGGCACUUCAGAGUGCUUUGGGGAUCUUGAGAAUUCUUCCAUGGGGUAGGCACAAAGCCCACAUUUUGAAGGCUACUGUAUCACCAAAAAGAAACUUUCGGGGAGCAAAGGGGUGGCAAUGAACUUUACUAGGGGAGAGAGAAUUUUGCUAUACAUUAAACACAGAGUUAAGGUAA